UUAAAACAAUGGAAGAUGAAUUAUAAUUUUGCUUUGUGCCUGGAACAGGUGAAUAAGCUGGAAGAAAGCUUCAAUGUGAUUAACUCGAGAACAAAGCCACGUGCAGCAUAUUUAUUUACAAAGGACAAUAAGUUCAAGGAACAAUUUGUAAAGAAAGUUUCUGUUGGUGGUUUGCUUAUCAAUGACAUUGCCUUACAUCUUGUGGUUUAUAAUUUGCCAUUUGGGGGAGUUGGAGACAGUGGAAUGGGUGCAUACCAUGGAAAAUUCUCCUUUCAUGCUUUUACUCACAGAAAGGCAGUACUUUAUCGCGGUUUUACAGGCGAUUCAUCUUUAAGGUACCCACCUUACACGGAUAGAAAGCAGAAAUGUAUGAAGGCUCUAGUUGCUGGUGAUGUUCCCGCUGUGAGAGCGUAAUUUUAUGUUGCAUAAGGAAUCAAGGCAACAAGACCCAUAUGGUAUUUUUAAUACAGAAGAGUCCAUUCCAAGGGUUAUUGGUCCUUAUAAGAAUUUGGUUAUAUUCACAUCAAGUUCUAUGGAUCCAAAGUUCAUCUCAAGCCCUUCCUCUGUUCCAUUACUAAGAAAGUUAAGGAUCUUGAUGAGCAAUCUUCAGACAGUUGAUUUGAAAGGCCUUAUAAAUCAACAAAAAUUAUCAUUUUGGAUCAACUUGUAUCAUGCAUAUGUGCAAUUUUGGUUGUAAGCCAUGGGGAUCCCCUGCAAAUCUUGCAAACAAUUCUGCUUGCUGCUAAUAAACACAAGGGUCCCUCUUAUGAUGACUUAGCUUCAAUGUUAGAGGCAGUUUAGGUGGCACCGAUCUUGUCCCAGCACUGCCAACACACAAUGCAAACUGGAGAGCUCAAGGGAGUCAUUUAAGGUUUAGCAUAGAGCCAACUUACUCUUUUGGUUGGAUUUGGAUCCCAUAUUCCAUUAUUUACUUUUUAUAUUCAUAACCAAAACUUUUUGGAGUAUUUAUCAAAA